AAAAACUCCGGUGGUAUACGAUGGAUCCGCGUCUGAUUAGCUGGUUGGCGGGGUAACAGCCCACCAAGGCGACGAUCAGUAGCCGGCCUGAGAGGGUGAACGGCCACAUUGGGACUGAGACACGGCCCAAACUCCUACGGGAGGCAGCAGUGGGGAAUAUUGCACAAUGGGGGAAACCCUGAUGCAGCGACGCCGCGUGAGUGAAGAAGUAUUUCGGUAUGUAAAGCUCUAUCAGCAGGGAAGAAAAUGACGGUACCUGACUAAGAAGCCCCGGCUAACUACGUGCCAGCAGCCGCGGUAAUACGUAGGGGGCAAGCGUUAUCCGGAUUUACUGGGUGUAAAGGGAGCGUAGACGGCAGCGCAAGUCUGAAGUGAAAUCCCAUGGCUUAACCAUGGAACUGCUUUGGAAACUGUGCAGCUGGAGUGCAGGAGAGGUAAGCGGAAUUCCUAGUGUAGCGGUGAAAUGCGUAGAUAUUAGGAGGAACACCAGUGGCGAAGGCGGCUUACUGGACUGUAACUGACGUUGAGGCUCGAAAGCGUGGGGAGCAAACAGGAUUAGAUACCCUGGUAGUCCACGCCGUAAACGAUGAUUACUAGGUGUUGGGGGACCAAGGUCCUUCG
rnacentral:rRNA from 1 species